AGGACGAACGCUGGCGGCGUGCUUAACACAUGCAAGUCGAGCGGAAAGGCCUUUCGGGGUACUCGAGCGGCGAACGGGUGAGUAACACGUGAGUAAUCUGCCCAUCGCUUCAGGAUAGCCAUCGGAAACGGUGAUUAAUACUGGAUAUGACAUUCCUUCGCUAUGUUGGGGUGUGGUAAAGUUUUUUCGGCGGUGGAUGUGCUCGCGGACCUAUCAGCUUGUUGGUGGGGUAAUCGGCCUACCGAAGGUCUUUGGACGGGUAGCCGGCCUGAGAGGGU
rnacentral:rRNA from 1 species